ensembl:snRNA U6 U6 spliceosomal RNA
GUGCUUGCUUCGGCAGCACGUAUACUAAAAUUGGAACGAUACAGAGAAGAUUAGCAUGGUCCCUGCACAAGGAUGACACACAAAUUCAUGAAGCGUUCCAUAUUUUU